GGGGCUGUGGCUCAGAGGCAGAGCGCACGCCUAGCAUGUAUGAGGCACUGGGUUCGAUCCUCAGCACCACA
rnacentral:tRNA from 1 species